rnacentral:rRNA from 1 species
UACGGAAGGCAGCAGUGGGGAAUAUUGCACAAUGGGCGCAAGCCUGAUGCAGCCAUGCCGCGUGUAUGAAGAAGGCCUUCGGGUUGUAAAGUACUUUCAGCGGGGAGGAAGGCGAUGCGGUUAAUAACCGCGUCGAUUGACGUUACCCGCAGAAGAAGCACCGGCUAACUCCGUGCCAGCAGCCGCGGUAAUACGGAGGGUGCAAGCGUUAAUCGGAAUUACUGGGCGUAAAGCGCACGCAGGCGGUCUGUUAAGUCAGAUGUGAAAUCCCCGGGCUUAACCUGGGAACUGCAUUUUGAAACUGGCAGGCUUGAGUCUUGUAGAGGGGGUAGAAUUCCAGGUGUAGCGGUGAAAUGCGUAGAGAUCUGGAGGAAUACCGGUGGCGAAGGCGGCCCCUGGGACAAGCUGACGCUCAGGUGCGAAAGCGUGGGGAGCGAAACAGGGAUUAGGAUACCCGU